GACACACUCACGCACCCGCCCGGUGGCGCGCGCGCCCUGCCUCUCCAUCUCGCCCACCGCCCGCUUUUACGCAUCUCUCCCUCCCGCGGAGGCAGGACCGGACAGGACCCCCGCUCCCGACCCGGCCGGCAGAAGGCGAACACUUCGGUGAGACAGUCUUCUCAGGGGAAGCUGGGCCUGGAGCUCCGAGCCGGAGACGCCACCGCCUAGGCCCGGGACGUGGUCGCCGCCCCCUCCUCAGAAGCCCCCACCUCAGCAGCAGCAUCCGGGGGUCGAGGCCCAGAGAGGGGCCUGGAAGGGCAGGGAGGCUGGAGCUUUUCCUGGGACGGAGGCAUCGUGUUCCUGGACCCCUGAGGCUGGGGGUCUUCAGACUCCAGAAGCCUGCUCAGUCCUCCCUGUUCCGAGGAAGCCUUCUGCCUGCCUCAACUUUCAGCACACGGUGUGCUGUGCAGCAACAAGGCUUUCUGAGUUCUGCCUGGGUUCUCGACUCCUCGGCUGUCUAGAGAUCAGAGAGGAGAGAUUUCUACUAGCCUUCUCUAGGAUCCUUAUCUCCAGACCUGAGCCCAGAUCCUAUUCCUGACCUGGGUCCUCUGACCGAUGGACCGGCCAGCCCGUCCCCGUCGCUGCCGCCUCACUAGCCACGUGUGCCAGCCGAGCGUCUAAUACGCCUCCGCCGGCGGGGCCGGGCCGAGAGGAGGACGGGCGGGCAAGAGGCACGUGGCCCGGGACAACGAGGACCAAGACGACGACGAGGAGGAAGAGGAGGCGGAGGAGG